AUUGAACGCUGGCGGCAUACCUUACACAUGCAAGUCGAACGGUAACAGGUCUUCGGAUGCUGACGAGUGGCGAACGGGUGAGUAGUACAUCGGAACGUGCCUAGUAGUGGGGGAUAACUACUCGAAAGAGUGGCUAAUACCGCAUGAGAUCUACGGAUGAAAGCAGGGGAUCGCAAGACCUUGUGCUACUAGAGCGGCCGAUGGCAGAUUAGGUAGUUGGUGGGAUAAAAGCUUACCAAGCCGACGAUCUGUAGCUGGUCUGAGAGGACGAUCAGCCCAACUGGGACUGAGACACGGCCCAGACUCCUACGGGGGGCAGCAGUGGGGAAGUUUGGACAAUGGGCGCAAGCCUGAUCCAGCAAUGCCGUGUGCAGGAUGAAGGCCUUCGGGUUGUAAACUGCUUUUGUACGGAACGAAAAGCCCUGGGUUAAUACCCUGGGGUCAUGACGGUACCGUAAGAAUAAGCACCGGCUAACUACGUGCCAGCCGCCGCCGUAAAAC
rnacentral:rRNA from 1 species